AACGCACAUUGCGCUCUCUGGUAUUCCGGAGAGCAUGCUUGUUUGAGUAUCAGUAAACACCUUCAGUUUCUGCUUCUCUUUCUCUGUUGAAAAUGACAGGGGGGAGGGACGGAAGCUGGACUUGAGCGAUCCCAACGGCGGCAAGAUCUUGAUCUUUGCUGAUUGGCGGGUUGCUUGAAAUGCAGGUGCGGCAGGACACAUCUUCUGAGCUAUAAGCAUUACUUAUUUAGUCCCGUGAUACGGACUAUUACUAUUGCUGCAGCUAAAAUAUUAAAGGUCGAUUGUCCUUGUGCCCGACUGAUGCAGGAAUUGUCGAGGAUAAGUUAUCCUCGUUCAACUCGAUCUCAAAUCAAGUAAGACUACCCGCUGAACUUAA
rnacentral:misc_RNA from 1 species